rnacentral:rRNA from 1 species
GACGAACGCUGGCGGCGUGCCUAAUACAUGCAAGUCGAACGCAGUGGGGACGGGUGAGUAACACGUGGGUAACCUCCCAUAUGAGGGGAUAACACUUGGAAACAGGUGCUAAACCGAUACUGAUGGAUGGACCCGCGGUGCAUUAGCUAGUGGGUGAGGUAACGGCUCACCAAGGCCACGAUGCAUAGACGGCCGGAGAGGGUGACCGGCCACACUGGAAAUGAGACACGGCCCAGACGCCUACGGGAGGCAGCAGUAGGGAAUCUUCGACAAUGGGCGAAAGUCUGACCUAGCAACGCCGCGUGAGUGAAGAAGGUUUUCGGAUCGUAAAACUCUGUUGUUAGAGAAGCGUUAUCUAACCAGAAAGCCACGGCUAACUACGUGCCAGCAGCCGCGGUAAUAC